rnacentral:rRNA from 1 species
AGCGAACGCUGGCGGCAGGCUUAACACAUGCAAGUCGAACGCAUCCUUCGGGAUGAGUGGCAGACGGGUGAGUAACACGUGGGAACGUACCUUUUAGUUCGGAAUAACUCAGGGAAACUUGGGCUAAUACCGGAUACGCCCUUUGGGGGAAAGAUUUAUCGCUAAAAGAUCGGCCCGCGUCUGAUUAGCUAGUUGGUGUGGUAAUGGCGCACCAAGGCGACGAUCAGUAGCUGGUCUGAGAGGAUGAUCAGCCACACUGGGACUGAGACACGGCCCAGACUCCUACGGGAGGCAGCAGUGGGGAAUAUUGGACAAUGGGCGCAAGCCUGAUCCAGCCAUGCCGCGUGAGUGAUGAAGGCCCUAGGGUUGUAAAACUCUGUUGUUAGGGAAGAACAAGUGCUAGUUGAAUAAGCUGGCACCUUGACGGUACCUAACCAGAAAGCCACGGCUAACUACGUGCCAGCCGCCGCAGUAACAC